CCUACGGGAGGCAGCAGUGAGGAAUAUUGGUCAAUGGGCUUACGCCUGAACCAGCCAAGUCGCGUGAGGGAAGACUGCCCUAUGGGUUGUAAACCUCUUUUGUCAGGGAGCAACGACGGCUACGUGUAGCCGGACUGAGAGUACCUGAAGAAAAAGCAUCGGCUAACUCCGUGCCAGCAGCCGCGGUAAUACGGAGGAUGCGAGCGUUAUCCGGAUUGAUUGGGUUUAAAGGGUGCGUAGGCGGAAUGCCAAGUCAGCGGUAAAAUCGCGGGGCUCAACCUCGCUCCGCCGUUGAAACUGGCGUUCUUGAGUGGGCGAGAAGUAUGCGGAAUGCGUGGUGUAGCGGUGAAAUGCAUAGAUAUCACGCAGAACUCCGAUUGCGAAGGCAGCAUACCGGCGCCCAACUGACGCUGAAGCACGAAAGCGUGGGUAUCGAACAGGAUUAGAUACCCCUGUAGUC
rnacentral:rRNA from 1 species